GAUGAACGCUGGCGGCGUGCCUAAUACAUGCAAGUCGAACGCAUUGUGGUUGAAAUGAUAUGAAGAACUUGUUCAGAUUUGAUUUUCAACAUUGCAAUGAGUGGCGAACGGGUGAGUAACACGUGGGAAACCUACCUCUUAGCAGGGGAUAACAUUUGGAAACAAAUGCUAAUACCGUAUAAUAAUUAAAACCGCAUGGUUUUAGUUUAAAAGAUGGUCUUGCUAUCACUAAGAGAUGGUCCCGCGGUGUAUUAGUUAGUUGGUGAGGUAAUGGCUCACCAAGACAAUGAUACAUAGCCGAGUUGAGAGACUGACCGGCCACAAUGGGACUGAGACACGGCCCAUACUCCUACGGGAGGCAGCAGUAGGGAAUCUUCCACAAUGGACGAAAGUCUGAUGGAGCAACGCCGCGUGUGUGAUGAAGGGUUUCGGCUCGUAAAACACUGUUGUAAGAGAAGAAUGACAUUGAGAGUAACUGUUCAAUGUGUGACGGUAUCUUACCAGAAAGGAACGGCUAAAUACGUGCCAGCAGCCGCGGUAAUACGUAUGUUCCAAGCGUUAUCCGGAUUUAUUGGGCGUAAAGCGAGCGCAGACGGUUAUUUAAGUCUGAAGUGAAAGCCCUCGGCUCAACCGAGGAAUUGCUUUGGAAACUGGAUAACUUGAGUGCAGUAGAGGAAAGUGGAACUACAUGUGUAGCCGGUGAAAUGCGUAGAUAUAUGGAAGAACACCAGUGGCGAAGGCGGCUUUCUGGACUGUAACUGACGUUGAGGCUCGAAAGUGUGGGGUAGCAAACAGGAUUAAAUACCCUGGGUAGUCCCCACUGUAAA
rnacentral:rRNA from 1 species